rnacentral:rRNA from 1 species
AUUGAACGCUGGCGGCAGGCCUAACACAUGCAAGUCGAGCGGCAGCGGAAAGUAGCUUGCUACUUUGCCGGCGAGCGGCGGACGGGUGAGUAAUGUCUGGGAAACUGCCUGAUGGAGGGGGAUAACUACUGGAAACGGUGGCUAAUACCGCAUAACGUCGCAAGACCAAAGAGGGGGACCUUCGGGCCUCUUGCCAUCAGAUGUGCCCAGAUGGGAUUAGCUAGUAGGUGGGGUAACGGCUCACCUAGGCGACGAUCCCUAGCUGGUCUGAGAGGAUGACCAGCCACACUGGAACUGUGACACGGUCCAGACUCCUACGGGAGGCAGCAGUGGGGAAUAUUGCACAGUGGGCGCAAGCCUGAUGCAGCCAUGCCGCGUGUAUGAAGAAGGCCUUCGGGUUGUAAAGCACUUUCAGCGGGGAGGAAGGUGUUGAGGUUAAUAACCUCAGCAAUUGACGUUACCCGCAGAAGAAGCACCGGCUAACUCCGUGCCAGCCGCCGCCGUAACAC